UGAUCCACCAGCUUUGGCCUCCCAAAGUGCUGGUAUUAUAGGUGUGGGCCACCGUUCCUGAACUAGUCCAGGUAAUUCUCAUAAUUUUAUUAGUUAGAUAGCAUUAAUACAGGUGUCAAAAAUGUCAGAAUUAUUUCUUUUAAGAAAAAAGUGUUGUGAAGGUUUCUUUAUUUUCUUUUCUUAUACAUUAGGCAUUAACAGUGAUUUCCUGUGUAAUUUGGGAAUGUUUAUUGACAGUAAUGUGUAUUACGGGAAGAUAAAUUCUAUUUUUUCAUGAAAUGGCUGUCGUAGAAUUAUAAUUAUUAUUAUUUUGUUGUUGUUGUUGUUUUGAGACAGAGUCUUGCUCUGUCGUCCAGGCUGGAGUGCAGUGGCACAACCUCGACUCACUGCAGCCUCCGCCUCCUGGGUUCAAGCAAUUCUCCCACCUCAGCCUCCCUGAGUAGCUGGGGUUACAGCCUCGCAUGAGCACGCCUGGUUAAUUUUUGCAUCUUUAGUAGAGACGGGGUUUCGGCAAGUUGGCCAUGCUGAUCUCUAACUCCUGGCCUCAAGUGAGCCACCCGCCUUGGCGUCCUAAAGUGCUGGGAUUACAGGUGUGUGCCACCUCACCCACCCAUCAAGGAAUCAUUAAAAAGAAGGAAUCUAAGACUAUUUUAAAAAUUUCUCUCAAUGAUUUAAUAUUUGGGUUUUAUGUAUUUUAUUCCAUUUUAGCACUGUGAGAUAGCAUGAUUGCCUAAAGGACUGUAUUAAAGAUGAGUGCACAGUUCUGUCUUAUUUAUCUGCUGUCACAUUGUUUUGACACAGAAGAAAGUCAAGUAACAUUGAUGAAGAGCUAAAAUAUGCUCUAACUGUGGAAAAAAUAAAUAUAAAUUGUCCAUAGUUGCUCAAUUUCUAAAGUAAAAGGAAAAAAUACAGUGUAAGACUGUGAAUUAGUUCAGGAAGGUAAACUUAAGUAAUGUUUAUUUAACUUCAAGAUUUCAGUGGCUUAACUCAACAAAGGUCUGCUUCUUCUGCAUGUCACGGGACAAUGCUGGUUGGUAUGGAUGGCUCUUCUCCAUGCAGUAAUUCAGAGACACAGGCUUCUUUCAUCUAGUGAUUUAUUUUUCCCUGCAGCUUCAGAUACUCUUUUUCCCUCUCUCUGGGAUCCUUUGCAUCUGUCUGGCAGAUAUGGAGACGGAAAGCACAAGAGGAUUGUGUUAGGAGUCUUAAGGGCUGGAUGUGACACUCCUUGAAAGGGAAGCUGGGGAAUGAGUAUGUAGGUGUGUGUCCAGGAUGUAGGGAAAAUGGGUUUGGUGGGGACAGCACUUCCUGGAAUAACGUUGCUUUGGAUUUAACAACAGUUGGGCAAAGGAGGUCGGUAUACAGAUACAGGACAAGAAGAGUGGUGUCAAAGGGAGGCUAAAUCAUUGGUUCUGGCUUCAUCUAAGGAAUUCUUAUGAGAAAUCGAGGGAGAGACUGUCCUGGGAAGUCUGAUGAAACAUGAUCAAGAUAUUUUAACUUCUGUGUUUAGCGCCUUUAAUAGAUUGAGCUAAGAAGUCUAAGCAAUCUUCAGGGCUAAGAAACAAGCUGCACUUGCCAGAGUUGGAUGUUCACACCUUGGUGAUGGCUGAUAUUAAACAGAAUUCUUAAUGAACAAAUCGGCCUUGAAAAGGGAACAUGGUGAAGCAAGACAAAAGAAUUACAAACUUUGACUGAAACUUUCUCCUACCAGGAAUACAGGGACCGCUCACCAGGUUGUGAUGAGAAGGAUCAUCUGAAAUGCUCCAUUGCUCUCAGAAGUUGAGGUAACUUCAUUGGGCCCAAACUGAUAAACUAGGAAUGGCUCAGAAAAUAGCCCCUUAGAAGAACUGUAUGAAGCUUGGAUCCAUUUUUCUGUUUCACUGACCCUUCUUAACCGCUAGUGGCUCAGAGGUCUGGUGAGGUGGUGAGAGCUGUCCUAGAUGACAUGCACCUGGAGCCCAAAUGUGGGAGAAAAAAGAAAAAUCCCUCCAAUGAUUUGGUGAGGAGUUGAAGACAAAUAUCUUUAUUAUUUAUAAGUAUUCUGGCCAAGACAAUGAGUGUUGGAGUGGGAGGAUGAGGGAAUUUUAUGAUGAACGACAGCACAGCAAGAUGGACAGUAAGGCUCUGUCAUUGCCAUACCAGAUGUACAGAAGUGGCAUUUCAACUAAGGACACUGAAUAUGAAACAGACCUUGGAAAAGAGAGGAUGGAGUUAACUCUGAGAACAGAAAUCACCUACCUCUCUCCUCCCUAAACACACAGCUUACUGUCUAUAAUAAUAUACCCUUACUGGUCCAUUGUCCUCAUUAACAUAACUACAAUUCCAGGAGACUCUUGCCCAGGCAAAUUGCUUUAUUGUUCAUUACAGAGAGUUUUUGAAACAAAGAACCAUCAAUGCUUCAACAGAAAGCAUCAACAGUUUAUACCCCAAGAUCUUAGAACUCCUCACUUCCAAAUCCUCACUAUGCUAAUCCUAAACUAUUAUGUCAUGAUUUUUACCUAAACAAGACCCUGCAUGGAAAGAUCCUCUUUAUACAAUCUUUCAUUUUUUUGUCCUGGCUUUAAAAUGCAAAGCCCAUAUCCUUGGAAUUCCCUCUGUCUUGGGCAAAGUGUGACAGUUGGCCACCCUACUCCAAAAUCUCAUAAUUUUCCCACCUUGCCCCUCUAGAGACUAUCAAUCUCUGUUGAGGUGGUUCUCUCUUUCCAGGGUGAGCAAUAAACUCCUUGCCAGAGCUUUCCAUUGGGGGAGGAGGGUUUGAACUACUGCCAGAGACAAACAGAUGUAAACUAGAUGCAGGAGUUUGGAAAUUGAGCAGGGUUUGCAGUCUGGAAAAUUGCUCCACAAGAGACUGUCGUUGAACGAGUAGUCCUGAGUGAGUGGUCUAAGAGAACGUCAGAGUGAAAGAAAAUGCAGCCCACCUGGGUCAGCUGAAAAGGUAGAGAAUAAAAGGGAAAUGAAAUGCAGCUGCUAGUAACAGUUGAUUAAAUGAGGCUGGCAACUUACAUGGAGGCUGGAAGAGGAGAAAUGUGGGAGAGGCAGCAAGGAGAGAGAAGGAAACAUGAAGGAGGAGAAGAUUUCUAGAAGGAAAUGUAAGAGCUACAAAGGAGAAAGAUGAAUGAGAGACCCCACAAGAAAACAGCAGGGAAAAGAAGCUGCUUUCUGAGUUGAUGGUUGUUUCUAGUUUGGGGCUAUUAUGAAGAAAGCUGCUAUGAAGAACAUCCAUGUACAAAUCAUUUUAUGGACACACAUACUCAUUGCUCUUGGGUAAAUAUCUAGGAAUAUGAUUUAUGGAUCAUAG
rnacentral:lncRNA from 1 species